rnacentral:rRNA from 1 species
UGCUUGGGAAUAUGCCUUAUGGUGGGGGACAACAGUUGGAAACGACUGCUAAUACCGCAUGAUGUCUACGGACCAAAGUGGGGGACCUUCGGGCCUCACGCCAUAAGAUUAGCCCAAGUGGGAUUAGCUAGUUGGUGAGGUAAUGGCUCACCAAGGCGACGAUCCCUAGCUGGUUUGAGAGGAUGAUCAGCCACACUGGGACUGAGACACGGCCCAGACUCCUACGGGAGGCAGCAGUGGGGAAUAUUGCACAAUGGGCGCAAGCCUGAUGCAGCCAUGCCGCGUGUGUGAAGAAGGCCUUCGGGUUGUAAAGCACUUUCAGUAAGGAGGAAAGGUUAAGUGUUAAUAGCACUUAGCUGUGACGUUACUUACAGAAGAAGCACCGGCUAACUCCGUGCCAGCAGCCGCGGUAAUACGGAGGGUGCGAGCGUUAAUCGGAAUUACUGGGCGUAAAGCGUACGCAGGCGGUUUGUUAAGCGAGAUGUGAAAG